GUCGGUCCCUAGCAUCGAUCUAUCCAGCAUGGACGAUAUCCACUUAGAAUUUGACAACAAGAUGAACGAAAGACAAAGCCGAGUCAGUGGUCUCGACAAAGAAUGAUAAUCGCCUCUUUGGUCGUAGCUUUGACAGUCAUUUCCCUUGCUGCAAUAGAUACAGCUUCAACUACUUUACCACAAACUACGACAGAAUGGGAACCAGUGCCAAGUAAUUCAGUUAAGUGC